GUGCCAGCCGCCGCGGUAAUACCGGCAGCCCAAGUGAUGGCCGAUCUUAUUGGGCCUAAAGCGUCCGUAGCUGGCUGCGCAAGUCCGUCGGGAAAUCCACUCGCCCAACGAGUGGGCGUCCGACGGAAACUGCACAGCUUGGGACCGGAAGGCUCGAAGGGUACGUUCGGGGUAGGAGUGAAAUCCCAUAAUCCCGCACGGACCACCGAUGGCGAAAGCACUUCGAGAAAACGGAUCCGACAGUGAGGGACGAAAGCCAGGGUCUCCAACCGGAUUAGAUACCCGAGUAGUCC
rnacentral:rRNA from 1 species